GUUUCCGUAGGUGAACCUGCGGAAGGAUCAUUAUCGGUUUUUCGACAGUUUUGCUGACGAAAACAUUCGAUUAUCAACUUGAACGACAGUUGCCCGUUAUCACAAAUGGAACGACUGGCAAUUGUUGUGAUUGAGGUUGUCAUUGAAUGCUCUGAAGUUUUGUCCUGGUCUUUAUGUUGGGCAACAUGGAUAAAGACAUCGGGUGAACUUCUCAAUUGGGAGCCUGACAAUUAUCAAUGUGCAACUUUGCCGGCGUUUCUCCUUGACGCCUGUUGGUGCCUAGCCUACAGUUCCUGUCCAUCCUCGGGAUGGGCGUGGAUGUAGUGUGUCGCUUCAACAAAGUGCCGCUAGGUUUAAAUACUGGAUUCGAAUUAUUCGAAUGUCGGAGCCACAGGUACAAGGUAUUUCUUUUUCAUUUAUGAAAAACAUUGAGCCAGAAUCAUUGUAUCAUUUAAUUUGUGAUUCUCUACGUAGAAUUGCAAACAAAAAAAAUAACUACUGCCAGUGGUGGAUCACUCGGCUCGCUGGUCGAGGAAGAACGCAGCUAGCUGCGUUAAUCGGUGUGAAAUGCAGGACACUCCGAUCACUCGACAUUCGAACGCACAUUGCAGCCAUUGGAUAGCCGAUGGCUUCGUUUGUCUGAGCGUCGUUAUCAAAUUGUGACAAAUCAAAUGCGGUAGGUCCGAAUCGUCGUGAUGUGUUAAAUUGCGUCGUCGGAUCAUUUCCAAACAUUUGAUAUGCUGACUCUUGUGGUGAAGAAGGCUUUGUCGCACAUUCACUCAGGAGGUAUUUAGCGUUUCCAGCUAAACGCCCGGAAUGUGUGCCUUUUGCUACUUUCAAGUCAACAGAUCAUUGUUCCAAAACAAAUGUCUAAUUUCGACCUCAGAUCAAGCGAGACUA
rnacentral:rRNA from 1 species